AAAGUCGUAACAAGGUUUCCGUAGGUGAACCUGCGGAAGGAUCAUUAAUAAUUUGCCGAACCUAGCGUUAGCGAGGUUCUGCGAUCACUUAUAUUUAAAACCCAACUCUUAAAUGUAUAAAUUUAUGUAUUUUUUUAAUGAUAAAAAAUUAAAAGAUCACUUUCAACAACGGAUCUCUUGGCUCUC
rnacentral:misc_RNA from 1 species